ACGGAAGGCAGCAGUGGGGAAUUUUGCGCAAUGGGGGGAGCCCUGACGCAGCAACGCCGCGUGCGGGAUGAAGGCCUUCGGGUUGUAAACCGCUUUCAGCAGGGACGAUUAUGACGGUACCUGCAGAAGAAGCUCCGGCUAACUACGUGCCAGCAGCCGCGGUAAUACGUAGGGAGCGAGCGUUAUCCGGAUUCAUUGGGCGUAAAGCGCGCGUAGGCGGCUUGCUAAGCGGAACCUCUAAUCCGAGGGCUCAACCCCCGGCCGGGUUCCGAACUGGCAGGCUCGAGUGCGGUAGGGGCAAGUGGAAUUCCAUGUGUAGCGGUGGAAUGCGCAGAUAUAUGGAAGAACACCGAUGGCGAAGGCAGCUUGCUGGGCCGACACUGACGCUGAGGUGCGAAAGCGUGGGGAGCGAACAGGAUUAGAUACCCUGGUA
rnacentral:rRNA from 1 species